UACGAAGGGGGCUAGCGUUGCUCGGAAUCACUGGGCGUAAAGGGUGCGUAGGCGGGCAGGUAAGUCAGUGGUGAAAUCCCCGAGCUCAACUUGGGAAUUGCCGUUGAUACUAUCUGUCUUGAAUAUCGUGGAGGUGAGCGGAAUAUGUCAUGUAGCGGUGAAAUGCUUAGAUAUGACAUAGAACACCCAUUGCGAAGGCAGCUCACUACACGAUAAUUGACGCUGAGGCACGAAAGCGUGGGGAGCAAACAGG
rnacentral:rRNA from 1 species